UUAAAUUGAGAGUUUGAUCCUGGCUCAGGAUGAACGCUGGUGGCGUGCCUAAUACAUGCAAGUCGUACGCUAGCCGCUGAAUUGAUCCUUCGGGUGAAGUGAGGCAAUGACUAGAGUGGCGAACUGGUGAGUAACACGUAAGAAACCUGCCCUUUAGUGGGGGAUAACAUUUGGAAACAGAUGCUAAUACCGCGUAACAACAAAUCACACAUGUGAUCUGUUUGAAAGGUCCUUUUGGAUCGCUAGAGGAUGGUCUUGCGGCGUAUUAGCUUGUUGGUAGGGUAGAAGCCUACCAAGGCAAUGAUGCGUAGCCGAGUUGAGAGACUGGCCGGCCACAUUGGGACUGAGACACUGCCCAAACUCCUACGGGAGGCUGCAGUAGGGAAUUUUCCGCAAUGCACGAAAGUGUGACGGAGCGACGCCGCG
rnacentral:rRNA from 1 species